rnacentral:rRNA from 1 species
UACGGAGGGUGCAAGCGUUAUCCGGAUUCACUGGGUUUAAAGGGUGCGUAGGCGGGUUUGUAAGUCAGUGGUGAAAUCCCGAAGCUUAACUUCGGAACUGCCGUUGAUACUACAGGUCUUGAAUACUCGGGAGGUGAGCGGAAUAUGUCAUGUAGCGGUGAAAUGCUUAGAUAUGACAUAGAACACCGAUUGCGAAGGCAGCUCACUACAGAGUCAUUGACGCUGAGGCACGAAAGCGUGGGGAUCAAAC